rnacentral:rRNA from 1 species
GUCUACGACCAUGACACCCUGAACAAGCCCGAUCGCAGCUAUCAAGGAAGCUAAGCAGGGUGGGGCCUGGUUAGUCCUUGGAUGGGAGACCACCUAGGAAGACAAGGUGCUGUAAGUG